ensembl:lncRNA uncharacterized LOC103100460
AUUCUCUCUGAGGAGACAGGGAAACAGAAGCAUGAACUUCUCAUUUGUUCCCUGAAUUAGAUUCACAUAUUUAUCUUCUCCCAAAAUGUUAAACCGCUCUUACCAAUAGAUGUUCUUCCUCAUGCACAAAACAAGCUGGACUAUGAGAGGUUUAAUAUACUCCACCCAAGUCAACUGAGAUACUGUGAUCUGAUCUCUUUCCCAGUGUGUGGCACUGAUGGCACAACCUAUGAAAAUCCAUGUCAGAAAAUAUAAAGGAAAACUUGGUUUUCAUCAUAAGGGAAGAUGCCAAGCCCUACCUGUGGAGUUAAAGAGAAUGUCGUUUCCUGAGGGCAGUUAUGUGAAUGGAAUAUUCUCUGCUUUACAUUAGAACUUUCAAUAAAGAUAUCUGGGCAACACUU